UACAGAGGUGGCAAGCGUUGUUCGGAAUUACUGGGCGUAAAGCGUGCGCAGGCGGUUUGCUAAGACAGGUGUGAAAUCCCCGGGCUUAACCUGGGAACUGCGCUUGUAACUGGCAAGCUUGAGUGUGGCAGAGGGGGGUGGAAUUCCACGUGUAGCAGUGAAAUGCGUAGAGAUGUGGAGGAACACCGAUGGCGAAGGCAGCCCCCUGGGCUGAGAUUGACGCUCAGGCACGAAAGCGUGGGGAGCAAACAGG
rnacentral:rRNA from 1 species